rnacentral:rRNA from 14 species
UGGAGAGUUUGAUCCUGGCUCAGAACGAACGCUGGCGGCGUGCCUAACACAUGCAAGUCGAACGAGAAAGCCUUCGGGCAAGUAAAGUGGCGCACGGGUGAGUAACGCGUGGGUAAUCUGCCCUUCAGUCUGGGAUAACAGUUCUAACGAGCUGCUAAUACCGGAUACGACAUCAACCUCUGCGGGGGAUGAUGGGAAAGAAUUUCGCUGAAGGAUGAGCCCGCGUAUCAUUAGGUAGUUGGUGGGGUAAAGGCCUACCAAGCCAAAGAUGAUUAGCUGGUCUGAGAGGAUGAUCAGCCACACCGGGACUGAGACACGGCCCGGACUCCUACGGGAGGCAGCAGUCGGGAAUAUUGCGCAAUGGGGGAAACCCUGACGCAGCAACGCCGCGUGAAGGAUGAAGGCUUUCGGGUUGUAAACUUCUUUUA